rnacentral:rRNA from 1 species
AAAGUCCGCUUUGAUUAUGUGGAGUUGGUUGUAGCUGGCCCGCUGGAUUUUUUAAAUAAAUUCCUUUGGACAUGUGCACGCCUUCUCUUUCAUCCACACACACCUGUGCACCUGUGAGGCAGAUGUUGGGGGACUUUAUUGUUACCCUUCUCUGUCUACUUAAUUCACACAAACUCAAAUUAUUUUAAAAUGAAUGUAAUUGAUGUAACGCAUAUAAUACUAAGUUACAACAACGUAUCUAUUGGCUCUAGCAUUGAUGACGAACGCAGCAAAAUGCGAUAAGUAAUGUUAAUUGCAGAAUUCAUUGAUUAUCCAAUUAUUUAAACCCCCGUUGGGCCCCUGGGAAUCCCUUGAGCAUGCCUGGUUUGAUAUCAUGGAAUUCUUCAAGUCAAUCCUUUGGUAAUUUAAUUGGUUGGGGCUUGGUAUUGGAGGUCUUUUCAGCUUCGCCCCUGGUCCUCUUUGUGCCUUCGAUGGAUAUCAGUGGUAUGCUUGGUUUCCCUGGGGGCGAUAAGGUAUCUUUCGGUGAGGGCCCUGUAAAAAGUUGGCAAGGUAAAAGCAGGUGGACCGGUUUCAACCGUCCCUUCAAUUGGACAAUUAAUUUUUAUGAUAUGAUCUCAAAUCAGGUUGGUAACCCGUA